GACGUAGGGUGCAAGCGUUGUCCGGAUUUACUGGGCGUAAAGCGCGCGUAGGCGGCUCGUUAAGUGUGAAGUGAAAGCCCGGGGCUCAACUCCGGAACUGCUUUACAUACUGGCGGGCUUGAGGGAUGCAGAGGUCUGUGGAAUUCCUGGUGUAACGGUGAAAUGUGUAGAUAUCAGGAGGAACACCCAUGGCGAAGGCAGCAGACUGGGCAUUUCCUGACGCUGAGGCGCGAAAGCGUGGGUAGCAAACAGG
rnacentral:rRNA from 1 species